AGCGAACGUUAGCGGCGGGCUUAACACAUGCAAGUCGAGCGAGAAGGCGGCUUCGGCUGCCGAGUAAAGCGGCGGACGGGUGAGUAACACGUGGGUAACCUGCCCUUCAGUGGGGGACAACCAUCCGAAAGGAUGGCUAAUACCGCAUAAGUCAUGAGAGGCCGAGGCCUUUCAUGGGAAAGCUAGCCACUGUUUACAAGCUGGCGCUGAAGGAGGGGCCCGCGUCGCAUCAGCUAGUUGGUGAGGUAAUGGCUCACCAAGGCAAAGACGCGUAGCUGGUCUGAGAGGAUGAUCAGCCACACUGGGACUGAGACACGGCCCAGACUCCUACGGUGGCUG
rnacentral:rRNA from 1 species